GAGCCAGAGAAGCAGAGACAGGUAAAGACAAUCAGCAGGGGAUGAAGAUGUCAAACACGGCCAAAGAAGAACUGUAAUGACAACCUAGAGGACUUCCUAAGUCUCUCAGGACUCUUCCAGGCAGUUGGAACUUGAGGGAUUUCAACAACUUCUUUGCUGCCUAGACCUUGACAUUUCAGGAAUAGGAGGACUGCUAUAGCAUCCAGUGUUAC
rnacentral:lncRNA from 1 species